rnacentral:lncRNA from 1 species
UCAGGUUGCACUAUCAAUUCUCUUGCGGCUCUUACCUGAGAAUUUAGCUAGUUUUCUUUUCUUUUUUUAAGUUAUCACAAAUGAAGCUGCUGUAGGCUGUAAGGUUUCUUCAGUGACUCUUCUAUUGUUCCAGUUUUAGAAAUGAGGACCUGAACCAGAAAAUGGAGAAAAUGUUUUCAUGCCAAAACCUCUUGCUGAGCAGCAUCUCUUAUGUCACCCUUCUGCUUUCCUGCUGUUCUGUGUGACAUUUUGUUAUAGCAGGCAGAUUCCUUGAUCAUACAAUUCUACACUGAUCAAGCCUAGUAACAGGUAAAAAGCUAAAAACUGCCUUUUUACAGGUAAUAGAUAUAUGAAACUGGCUUUUUU